rnacentral:misc_RNA from 1 species
GGUCACGAUCGCCCAAGGUGGUGUACUGCCCAACAUCCAGGCUGUUCUUCUGCCCAAGAAAACGGGAUCAGUUGGAAAAAAAUCAUCUCAGUCCCAGGAAUUUUGAAGAGAGAAGUGUUGUGCAGAGGAAUUAUGUGUUGCAUUACGAUAUCAGAGAGGCGAAUGUGUUGUGUCCUUCAUUACUGUUGUGCCAUCAGAAAUUUUGCAGUUACUAAGUUACACUUGUUCUACAGUUUUAUUGGUUUUUGUACAUUUUGCAAUAUAAUAGCAUUAUCUUGUUGACUUUCCUUUUCUCACGUUACUUCAAAUUAUCAUGAGUCAGACCAAAUGACGAAGUACUGGUAGAAGUGAUAAUUGUAGCAUUCUAUUGUUUUAAUAAAUAUUUGUUUUCUAGUCAUGUUUCUA